GCACAACAGAUGCUCAAAGGCGGAUGACAGAAGCCGGCCUGCCACCCUCCAUUUGGACAGCAAGGCCCCGAGAGGGGUUCACCUGGGAGCUUGAGUUUCUGGUCAUCUCAUAAUCUGGCCAGAGCCUCCCUCGAUCCUGCCUCUAGGUCCACUCGCUCCAAGGCCAAGUGGGUGCGGAGCAUAGCGGAGGCCACAGCUCACUUGGAGAGGUAGCCCUGCGGAAAACUGUGACUGUUUGCAGCCGAAGGAAGAUGCAAGAAACCCACACACACAGCGCGGUGGCUUUGGGGAUGACUAAAUUCAACUGAGAGAUGUGAAGUCCGCAAAAUCUACCCAACAGGAGAACUCUGGGCGCCGUGGACUCGGGAGGGGCCACCAGGACACUGGCUGACUGUCCCUAAGGGGUCCCAGGCCCCCCACCCUUUGAGGCCCAGAGCAGACACCCUCACUGGGGUGGCUGAGUCACUCCCAGUGCAGACGGGACCAGAGACCAGAGGGACACGCAGACGGCAGACGUUUAUCCACCAGGAGAAAGACACCCCGUGGGCAGAGCCCGUUCAUCGGCACCAAGUGCUGGGUCUCCAGGCCCCCAGCACAAAGCCACCCCGCCUGUUCACUGCAGCAUCUUCAGCAGCCAUUAGAGGGCCUUCCUGAGCCAGGGCCUGGAGCCCAGCCGUGGGGUCAGGGUUUAAGAAGACCUUAGGAAAAAAAAAAAAAAGAAGCCCUUAGGAAACCCUUCAGUACCUCAGCUGAUUAAUUAAAUUAAUUCUGAUCUUCCAUGUUUCCUGCAAAGCUGUCAAUGGAUAAAGGCAGAGAGCCGGGCAUUUUGCUCUGGAGGAACGACAGCAAGGCCGGGUCUGCCACUGCUCUGUGCCCACUCUGCGUGAGCUCCUUCACUUGCUCUGGCCCCUAGAAUCCUCCUGAACCCAUCUCACAGAUGACGAACCUGAGGCAAAGAUGGCUCACAGGGCCACACAGCCAGGAGGGGGCCAAGCUGAGCCAGAAAAGCAAAAACUGAGCCAGAGCUUCCUGAACCUGUCCUUGGAGACGGUCUCAACCCCUGAAGAGUCUUUGCCCAGGAGCUUUGGAACCUGUUCCGGUGCUUCCGUCCUAGAACCACACCUGCCCUGGCCCCCAGCCUCGCCCCGCGCACCCUCCGGCACGGCCUAACACUCCAGAAGGUCUACACAGCAGGUGCCUCGGCCCACCCUCACCUCACUCACCCUGUGACACCGUGAGCUCCAGCCUUGCUCCCCACCCCACCUGGGGUCCAAAUAGCCUCCCAUCACUGAAUUCAUCAGAUUCCAGGGUGAGAACAUUUACGACCCUUUUUUUUUUUACCUGCUGGUGUUUCUAAAUUUUCCAAACCCAACCUGUCUUGUGUAAGAACUUAUAAAAGCUGUGCAAAAUAAAAACUCU